CAGUGAGUGUGUAUGUCAGUGUAUCUGUGAAAGUUUUUGUCAGUGUGUCUGUCAGUCAAAGUGUGUGUUAGUCUUGUCAGUGUGUGUCUGUGAGUGAGUAUGUGUGGAUAUCUGUCAGUGUGGGUCUGUCAGUGAAUGUGUGUGUGUUUGAGUGAUUGUGCAUCUGUGCAGAGGCGGCUCUAGACUUUAUGAGGCCUUAGGCGAAACUCAAACAUGAG